GCCUGGAUCAGUCAGUAGAACAUUGCGUUAGCAACCCAAAGGCCAUGGGUUCAAUCCCCAGGGAAAGCA